UACGAAGGGGGCUAGCGUUGUUCGGAAUUACUGGGCGUAAAGCGCACGUAGGCGGAUACUUAAGUCAGGGGUGAAAUCCCGGGGCUCAACCCCGGAACUGCCUUUGAUACUGGGUAUCUCGAGUCCGGAAGAGGUGAGUGGAAUUCCGAGUGUAGAGGUGGAAUUCGUAGAUAUUAGGAAGAACACCAGUGGCGAAGGCGACAUACUGGUCCGUUACUGACACUGAGGCUCGAAAGCGUGGGGAGCAAACAGG
rnacentral:rRNA from 1 species